rnacentral:rRNA from 1 species
UAGGGAAUAUUGCUUAAUGGGCGCAAGCCUGAAGCAGCAACGCCGCGUGUGCGAUGACGGCCUUCGGGUUGUAAAGCACUUUUCACCGGGAAGAGGAAGGACGGUACCGGUGGAAUAAGCCUCGGCUAACUACGUGCCAGCAGCCGCGGUAAUACGUAGGGGGCAAGCGUUGUCCGGAUUUACUGGGUGUAAAGGGCGCGCAGGCGGGAUAAAAAGUCAGUGGUGAAAUCCUACAGCUUAACUGUAGAACUGCCUUUGAUACUUUUAUUCUUGAGUUCGGGAGAGAGAGACGGAAUUCCAGGUGUAGUGGUGAAAUACGUAGAUAUCUGGAAGAACACCAGUUGCGAAGGCGGUCUCUUGGUCCGACACUGACGCUGAGGCGCGAAAGCGUGGGGAGCAAACA